UUUCGUCGGAAGGUCGCAAGAUCG
rnacentral:misc_RNA from 1 species